GUAGGGUGCGAGCGUUAAUCGGAAUUACUGGGCGUAAAGGGUGCGCAGGCGGUUUUGUAAGCCAGAUGUGAAAUCCCCGGGCUUAACCUGGGAAUGGCAUUUGGGACUGCAAGGCUGGAGUGUGGCAGAGGAGACUGGAAUUCCUGGUGUAGCAGUGAAAUGCGUAGAUAUCAGGAGGAAUACCGAUGGCGAAGGCAGGUCUCUGGGCUAACACUGACGCUCAUGCACGAAAGCGUGGGGAGCAAACAGGAUUAGAUACCCUGGUAGUCCACGCCCUAAACGAUGUCGACUGGUUGUUGGGGGUUUGACACUCUCAGUAACGAAGCUAACGCGUGAAGUCGACCGCCUGGGGAGUACGGCCGCAAGGUUAA
rnacentral:rRNA from 1 species